rnacentral:tRNA from 1 species
GGUAGGGUGGCCGAGAAGGUGGCAAGUUGUAGCCUUGUUUACGGGGUGUAUAGCCCCCCCAACCA